rnacentral:rRNA from 1 species
UACGUAGGGUGCAAGCGUUGUCCGGGAUUAUUGGGCGUAAAGAGCUCGUAGGCGGUUUGUCGCGUCGGCUGUGAAAACUCGGGGCUCAACCCCGAGCCUGCAGUCGAUACGGGCAGACUAGAGUGCUGUAGGGGAGACUGGAAUUCCUGGUGUAGCGGUGAAAUGCGCAGAUAUCAGGAGGAACACCGAUGGCGAAGGCAGGUCUCUGGGCCAUAACUGACGCUGAGAAGCGAAAGCAUGGGGAGCGAACAGG